rnacentral:rRNA from 1 species
AUUGAACGCUGGCGGCAUGCCUUACACAUGCAAGUCGAACGGCAGCGGGGACUUCGGUCCGCCGGCGAGUGGCGAACGGAUGAGUAAUGUAUCGGAACGUACCUUUCAGUGGGGGAUAACGUAGCGAAAGUUACGCUAAUACCGCAUAUUCUCUGAGGAGGAAAGCAGGGGACCUUCGGGCCUUGUGCUGAUGGAGCGGCCGAGAUCAGAUUAGCUAGUUGGUGAGGUAAAGGCUCACCAAGGCGACGAUCUGCAGCGGGUCUGAGAGGAUGAUCCGCCACACUGGGACUGAGACACGGCCCAGACUCCUACGGGAGGCAGCAGUGGGGAAUUUUGGACAAUGGGCGCAAGCCUGAUCCAGCCAUGCCGCGUGAGUGAAGAAGGCCUUCGGGUUGUAAAGCUCUUUCGGACGGGAAGAAAUUGGUGGGGCUAAUAUCCCCAUCGGAUGACGGUACCGUAAUAAGAAGCACCGGCUAACUACGUGCCAGCAGCCGCGGUAACAC